GUGAAGAAGAAGUCAGAGAAGAUGACAUCACAGAUGACAUCACAUACAGUGACCUCAAAAUAUUACCUCAGCAGCAGCAGCCAAUCAGACGGAGCAGAGAGAGCGAUCCGGCUGCAGUCUACUCAGCUGUGAGAACAGACCACGUCACUUAUGGACGGAUAUUCAUCACAGACACCAGAUCACAGACCAGAGAGAGAGAUCCGGGCGACUCAGCAGAGAGAACCACGGACGCCAGCUGUGGACAAAGAGGCAACAGACCAAACAGGACCAGAGCGUGUCCAGCAGAGCCGGAGGUCGUCUACUCUCCAGUGAAGAAGACCAUCACACCUUCACACCUGUCCCACCCGUCCCACCUGUCCCACUGCUGACGUCCUGCUGACGUCCUGUAGCUGCUCACACCAGAGUACAUUCAGUGUUUAUAUAUUCUUUACAUGUUGUGUGUCUCGUUCUCACUGAACUGAACUUCUGCAGCCACAGAAAAUCAAACAGGUCCAAUUCAGAGGAAAUUUUAUAUUUUUUUAAAAGUGUGAUUGAUUUUCAGUGCAAAAUACUGUGAAAAACUAAAACUCAGUAUUAAAACAACAGAUUGACUAUUUGCACCCGGGUGAAAAUAGUCACAUGGCAGCUACUUGGCUACUUACACCUGUGUGGAACGUCCACUGGCUCCUUAAGAACAUUCAGCUGCUUCAGGUGAAGAAGUAUGAAGAGGUUCAACAUCAGUUUGAUUUUCCUCCAGCCACAUUAUCAUUGUUAUUAUUAUUAUUAUUGUUAUUGUUAUUGUUAUUAUUAUUAUUAU